rnacentral:rRNA from 1 species
UACAGGGGGGGCAAGCGUUGUUCGGAAUUACUGGGCGUAAAGGGUCUGUAGGUGGCCAACUAAGUCAGACGUGAAAUCCCUCGGCUUAACCGGGGAACUGCGUCUGAUACUGGAUGGCUUGAGAUUGGGAGAGGGAUGCGGAAUUCCAGGUGUAGCGGUGAAAUGCGUAGAUAUCUGGAGGAACACCGGUGGCGAAGGCGGCAUCCUGGACCAACACUGACGCUGAGGAGCGAAAGCCAGGGGAGCAAACGGG